GCUUGUAAGAUUAUCCGCACCCACUUGCCGGCUUAUCCACAUAUAAUUGACAGAUUAUCCGCAUCUACCUAGUGGCUUAUCCACACCUACUUGCCAGGUUAAUUGUGUCUAAUUGCCAGAUUAUCCGCACCUACUUGCCGGCUUAUCCGCGCCUACAACAUGGCAAAUAGGACCGAACAAUAUGUCGUUGGGCCACUCACCCUCUCCUGCAGCUACUCUCCCUCUUUCUCUCAUGUCCACACGAUGUGAUCCCCAAGACCAUGUGUCUCUUUUUCUUCACUUGUAGGGGGUGUUUGGUUUGUCUGCAGCCACUGGGUUGCAUCGCACGAGGGGUGCUAUAGCAGGGGAUGCAGCAGCUGGGGUGCAUCCCCAAACUGUAGCCGUAUGUUUGGUGUUCCAUGAAUAGAGGAGCUACAGGCAGGGCAAAGGAACGGCGACAGAAGACAAAAUAGAGGCAGCGGCGGCGCUAGAUGACGAGAAACGACGCCGGAGGAGAAGGAGGAACGGCGGCAGCAGAGGAAGAGGAGAAGGUGCCGGACCCCAUCGAGCUGCGGACCGAAUCAAGCCCGCGAAGGUGGCGCUGCGGCUGCGCAGGACGGCUUGGACGAUAUAGGAGGCAGUGGCGGAGCGAAUCGAGCCGGCAGUGGAGAGAAUUGAGCCGGCGGCAGAGCCAAUCGAGGUUGCGGCGGGUGGUCGAUUGGGCGGCGGCGGACUGCUCGCCGGCCCCGAUUUGGGCCGGGAACGGGGUCGGGGAAGCUCGGAGAUCGACGGGGAGGGCGUGUCUGGCGAAGAGGAGGCCGGAGCAGGCCGCCGGGGGCGAUUUGGCACCGGGCAACGAGCACGAGAACAAGGUCGGGAAGAGAUAGACGAGAGAAAGGCCGCUGCACCGAAAAAAACGCUCGAUUCGAGCGUACGCGGGAUGCAUGCUGAGGAGGCCAUUUUUGCAUCCGGGCUGCACCACCUAACCUGGCCCAAGAAACCAAACAAGGUGAAUUUUGCAUGGCGGAUGCGAAACAGGUGCAGCCAGCCCAACCAAACAGCCCCCAGACACAAAUCAUGGGGAUCAAACUCACAGCGUCAACCCACUGCCCCAGGUCGCACAUAGCCGCAGUCCAGAGCCUCAGCUUCGUCCGCGACCCUCUCGACCCCACCGGGAGCUCGUGCAUCUGGGCCUACGUGCGCCUACUUGCCAGACGACGACCUACGCUGGUGCUGCGGAGCCGCGGAAAGAGGAUGACGACCUACGCUACGGAGCUGCGGGCCGACGGGCAUGGCGUCAGCGACGACAGGACACUUGAAUUAAUUUCUCUUCAUCCGUUAAUGGCGGCAGCCUCGUACACAGCCACGGAGCAUUAUUGACGGUGGGCAGCAGAGGCAGCAGGUGGCGGGGCCCGACCAAGUUCCCCACCGAGUUCUUCCGCUGUUCUUGUGCGAGGCAACGCCGAUGCAGAGAAGGCCGAGGGCGCCAUCAUCGGGAGAGAGAAGAGAAUGUGAUUUGAGGAUUUUGUAGGUGGUGUACAGGAGAGUGGAACGGGGAGAGAGAUGGGUGCGGGAGAGGAAUCGAACGGUGGGAACAACGCCGCACGGUAAGACCGAGUGGGGCACGUGCCCCACUUAGAAUCACCGAAUAUAAAAAUGUACGAAUUAGAAAUAGGAAUGGAGACCUCGUGGGCGUAAGUGUUGAGUCCAUCGAUGCACACCAAGUGGAAGACCUCAACCCAGGUUAGGGUUAAACGAGAGCUAGACCUUGCCGCCGCCGCUCCACGUCGAAGUCUUGCAGACGGAUCUAACAAUCUGUGUGCACGACAUUCUUCCAUGUAUGUCCCCAAAAUUGUUGGAGAAAUUAGAAUGGGCUUCGCGUGCAGAUGGAUUGUUUAUAUACUUCCUUUGUCCAACAAAAUAUGUAUUAGGUUUGUCAAAAUUUGGAUGUAUCUAAA